UAGCCGUAAACGAUACUCGCUAGGUGUCGGCCACGGUGCGACCGUUGUCGGUGCCGUAGGGAAGCCGUGAAGCGAGCCACCUGGGAAGUACGGCCGCAAGGCUGAAACUUAAAGGAAUUGGCGGGGGAGCACCACAACGGGUGGAGCUUGCGGUUUAAUUGGACUCAACGCCGGGAAGCUCACCGGAUGAGACAGCGGAAUGAUUGCCGGGCUGAAGACCCUGCAUGACCAGCUGAGAGGAGGUGCAUGGCGUGUGACUGU
rnacentral:rRNA from 1 species